rnacentral:rRNA from 1 species
UACAGAGGUCCCAAGCGUUGUUCGGAUUCACUGGGUGUAAAGGGUGCGUAGGCGGUCGGGUAAGUCUGAUGUGAAAUCUCCAAGCCUAACUUGGAAACUGCAUUGGAUACUAUCCGGCUCGAGGAAUGGAGGGGAGACUGGAAUACUUGGUGUAGCAGUGAAAUGCGUAGAUAUCAAGUGGAACACCAGUGGCGAAGGCGAGUCUCUGGACAUUUCCUGACGCUGAGGCACGAAAGCCAGGGGAGCAAACGGG